AUGUCUGCUGGCUCCGCGCCGCGCGUCGUCCCGCAGCCAGCCCCGUCUGUUGCUCGAUCCCAUCUGGAUCGGGCCCCGCCGGCGCUGAGCCGCUCCGUCCAUGCUGUUGGCGGGUCAGGGAAGGUGCCAGUGGUGUCCCCGAGCAAGUUGGUUGCGCCUGUGUGUGCGCCCGCGCGGCUGCCCGUGCAGGCCUCUGCUGCGUCGAUCUUGGAGGGCCCGGAGGGGAUGUGCUCCCUCGUCGCCGCGCCACCGCAUCUCGGCUCGGGUCGGCCAGAUCCCGAGUCAUGGACCUCUCUCGCCGCUGACAGCGACGACGACGAUGAAGAGGAGCUGGCCCCUAUGACACCGCCUGCUGCCAAGGCCUCGGCCCCAGUCGCUGCUCUGCCGGACGUGGUGGUGAAGGCGAGCGAGGGAUGGCAGGAGGUGUUGCCCCGGCGUGGUCCGCGUCGCCCGACGUCGCUAGCCCCUGCAAUGGCUCCCCGUCCAAUCCCUGUUUGGCUGCACGGUAGAUGUUGCAGAUGCUUCGCUCCUGGGCAUCGUGCGGCCGAUUGUAGAGAUCCGCUUCGGUGCUCCCGUUGCUUGGAGAAUGGUCACCGUGCUCGCGGAUGCCGCAAUCCUUGGCGUCCUCUAAGUUUUUUGGCAUGUCUUGCCAUGCCGCCAGUCCUCGGUUCCAUGCGCCAUCCUGCUCUAGCUUCAUGUAAGGAUGCAAUGAAAUCCAUGCUCCCUUCCAAGCCGAUUCACCAUGGGUCUUGGGCGUCUAUCGUCUCUACUACCGUUGGCUCAGCAACCCCACCCGAUAUGAUGUUGCGGUCCUCUCUGGCCGAUCAGACAAUAUUGUUGCAGAGUUGUCUGGCACGGGUUCAGAGCUUUCUCGAGCGGGCGGAGGCUGCUCUUAGCAGGCUCUCCCUUGCACCGGCUAGGUCGUAG
rnacentral:rRNA from 1 species